AGUGAAUAGAUACCCUGGUAGUCCACGCUGUAAACGAUGAGUGCUGGACGUUGGCGGGUUUACCUGCCGGUGUCGCAGCUAACGCGUUAAGCACUCCGCCUGGGGAGUACGGCCGCAAGGUUAAAACUCAAAGGAAUUGACGGGGGCCCGCACAAGCGGUGGAGCAUGUGGUUUAAAUUCGACGCAACGCGCAGAACCUUACCAGCCCUUGACAUGGGCGACGGGGUCCAGAGAUGGACUCUUUCUCGCAAGAGACCGCUACACAGGUGCUGCAUGGCUGUCGUCAGCUCGUGUCGUGAGA
rnacentral:rRNA from 1 species